GGUGAACGUAGCUCAGUCGGUUAGAGCAUCAGAUUGUGGUUCUGAGGGUCGUGGGUUCGAGCCCCAUCUUUCACCCCCA
rnacentral:tRNA from 1 species